rnacentral:rRNA from 1 species
CCUACGGGAGGCAGCAGUGGGGAAUAUUGCACAAUGGGGGAAACCCUGAUGCAGCGACGCCGCGUGAGUGAAGAAGUAUUUCGGUAUGUAAAGCUCUAUCAGCAGGGAAGAAAUAGCGACCUUUGGGUCGCCAGACGGUACCUGAUUAAGAAGCCCCGGCUAACUACGUGCCAGCAGCCGCGGUAAUACGUAGGGGGCAAGCGUUAUCCGGAUUUACUGGGUGUAAAGGGAGCGUAGACGGCAGCGCAAGUCUGAAGUGAAAUGCCGGGGCUUAACCCCGGAACUGCUUUGGAAACUGUGCAGCGAGAGAGCAGGAGAGGUAAGUGGAAUUCAUAGUGUAGCGGUGAAAUGCGUAGAUAUUAGGCGGAACACCAGUGGCGAAGGCAGCUUACUGGACUGUAACUGACGUUGAGGCUCGAAAGCGUGGGGAGCAAACAGGAUUAGAUACCCUGGUAGUC